rnacentral:lncRNA from 1 species
AAAAGCUCAAGCUCAAGCUUCUUCUUAUCUAGUGAAUUAUUAUCAUACAUAAGAUUCUGCAGAAGCAUAGGUUCUAUCAUAUUGAUAAGUCUCGAACUCGAAAAUUUCCAUGUAUGGUUUCUCAACUUUGCCUCAAUUUCUGUUUCAUCCAAAUUAGAGAUUGGUAUUUAUUGUGUGAUUCACUCGUGUGUGACUUAUUCGUCAGAUCGUGUUGUGGCUCCUUCGUGGGAUGAAGAGUUUGAGAAGGUCAAGAUUUGGUCGUCAAGCAAUUGUACCAAUCAAGAAUUUGAAGAGUUUGCUGAUGCUCAAGCAGCCCCUGCUCAACAUUAUUCUGGUCUCUUGGGCAAAAAAAUAAUUUUUUGAAUAUUUUUUAAUUAAAAUUUUGUUUUGAGAUUUUUUUAAAUUUGAAAUUAAAUUUUGGGCCUUCUUAAUAAAAAUUAUAAUAUGUUAUAAAACUUUUUAAAAUUAUAUGGGCCUUUUUAAAAUAAAAUUAAUAGUUUAAAAAAAUUUUGGAUCGUUUUACUAAAAAAACUUCAGGUCUAUUUUACAUAUUCUAG